GUGCCCUGCAGCUGCAAAGUAAAAAAGUCGCAGACAGCUUUUACACCCUCUGUGUUUGAAGUUGGAAUCAUGUCUCUAUAAGAGCCAUAAAAAUAAUUAUGCAUGAGGGCAGGCAAUUCUCACUUGUAAUAUUUGUAUUAAAAAAGGCCAUCUGUAUUUACAAACUUGUGCUAAGGUAUCCAAGAAGCACAAGAAAUAGCAGAUUAAAUGCUGAGGGCAGGCUCUUAGAAACAGGCCUCUAUUUACUGUCCAGAACUUUUAAUAUAACAGAAUACAUCCAAUGCUUGAAGUUCUAUUUAAUUCCACCACUCUACUGUAAUGCAGAUGACCAACUCAUGCAAUGGUUCACUAAUCAGAGGACCAUCUAUGGAAAGGUCACCGCACUUGGGACCAAAACAGGGUUAGCCGGCAGCGCACUGACAGAGAGGAAUAGGUGGAUCGAGAAGAAGUGGCGGUUCCUAUCGGGGCAUAUUGUGCGUGUAGUGACCAGGACUAGCGCACCCAAGGUACUUUGAUCACAACAAAUUUUUGAGGUCAUGAGGCUCUGGACACUAUGUCUAAAUGGUUUUAUGUGAUUCCUACAGGAACAAGACAUCAUUGGGCAUUCGUCCGAUGAUCCUGUGGAAGGGACUUCCACGCCGAGGCCAUCCACCAGGCAACAGCACCGCAGUAGGCACAUUUCCAGCAUCGACCUCACCACACCCGGAGGUGCUAAAGAAGGGACAGAUGGAAACAGCAUUAAAACUCUCAUUAAUACUGUUCGAGACGGUAUUAAAUUGUUGGUGGAAGGACGCCUGAGACCGAACAGCUUUACGCAGAGGGCAGUAGACUUCUGUCAAGCUAUUAUGGAAGAAGAAAUAAAUGAAGGACAAUGGGAUUUUGUAUGGAAUAUGAUCAAUGGGGCAAUCACUGUGCGAAAUAAAAAGAGACACUCACCAUCACCACUGAUGUCUACAGAGCAGCAGCCUGCUAGAAAUCCACCUUUGCCUUUUGUUUACGGAGAGGGCCGUGCACAAACACCAUUACAAGAAGGGGCAGAUUGUUUCGCUGACGUCAGUGACUCCAGUUAAACCUCGGACGGACGUUGAGAAUUAUUUAUGUGGUGUUUAAUUAACCGUUUGAGUUUUAGUUUAUUUUAGUUGUUGGCCACUCAACAUUUGGUGUGACAUCUAGAGCCCUUUAUAAAUGUCUGUAUGUUAAUAUGUGUGUCUUUUCCUCUUGGGCAUUACUUUGUUUCUGUUGGUGGCUCCACAUUUUAUGAUAGCCUGAAGUGUGAUAAAGCUUUUACCUCAGCAGUUUGAUUGUCAGUGCUUGUUUACCUCAUUGUUAAAUAAAUAUAUUUUUUACUAUCAGCUUGAUGUCUGCAAUUCUUCAUUAACACAUCACUACA